AGCGUCACUGGGCUGCUGUGUGUGUGGUUUUGCCACCAAGAUGAAAGAGCUAAGAUUUUAUUGGUGGAGAGAGAGAGAGAGAGAGAGAGAGAGAGAGAGAGAGAGAGAGAGAGAGAGAGAGACUACUGACUUUUAGAAAUAAGCUCAACACUUCCUGGAGCUGGGGUGAAGGCAUAUCAGCAGUUUGACAGGUUCAAUGGAGAGGAGCAUGGUAACUCCACUGGGGCUGCUGUUGGUGUUGCUUUGCUGGGUGAGAGGAAUGCAAGUGGAACAGAGUCCUCCAGCCCUGAGUCUUCAUGAGGGAGCUGGUUCUGGUCUAAGAUGCAAUUUUUCUACCACCAUGAAAAGUGUCCAGUGGUUCCAACAAAAUCGCAGAGGCAGCUUCAUCCAUCUUUUUUACCUGGCUCCAGGAAUGAAGGAGAUUGGGAGGUUAAAGACAACAUUCAAUUCUAAGGAGCGAUACAGCACACUGCACAUCAGGGAUGCCCAGCUGGAGGACUCAGGCAUUUACUUCUGUGCUGCUGAGGCACAGUGCUCCCAGCAAGGCAAGGGCCUGGCCACAAACUGCAGCUGGGUGUGUAGCUAAGGCCCCACCACAGCGAGAGUCUGUAGCAACAAUUGCACAGCUGUGGGGUUCCAAGUUUAUGCCGCUUCUCUGUUACCUCUGUUAA